rnacentral:lncRNA from 10 species
UGAGUUAUGUGUUUCUUGUUAAAUGGAUCAAAUUUCAACAAAGCCCGGGAAACAUCUUGAAAAUCACAUGAAUGCAAUUUCCAAAGAAAACAAUCCAAGAAUUACUGCCAAAAAGUUUUAUUUCCACUAGGAAGGAAAAGAAGAGUUUCAUUUUGCCCCCCACACAGACUGUAUGUUCAAUCUGUGGUCUGCAGUGGAAAAUUCUCCUGAUUUUGCUCAAUUCAGGGGAGGAGAGAAAUGAAGGAGGCUAUUGUUAUUUGAGAUACAACUUGCCCAUGUGACUGCAACAGGACAUAUAAAGGGAUCAUCUGAGAAUUACUCAUGGUCAAAAUGGAAACAAUGCAACCACCAUUCUCAAACUUCAGUGAGUAGAAGAAUCAUGGCAGCUUGCUAAAAUGCCCGAGUCUCAUCUCAGAUAUUCUGAUUCAGGAUGACUGAGGUUACCACCUCAUUGGUUGCUGCAUAUCUGCAUAACCACACUGAAGCAUCCAGGCGCUUUCUGUGUGAAAGGCAGUUGAGAGAAGUUGGGGCUUGGCAUCUGAGCAGAACCUUGACUCUCUUCAAAAGGGGGCUGACACACUGGAGAAACCCUGGAGACCAACAGCUGGCUUGCACAAAACUCGGACCUCAUUGCUCUUCAAAUAUUUAUGAAUAAUUUUCUUCAACGUGUUUGCUAACUGUUAAGAAUAUUAGUUUUUGCUGGUCUUCUUACUCAUGGCCCAUCUGAAGUCCCCUGGCCUGACCCUCCUGUGAAGUCAUCCCGCUGAACGGGCGCCACCGGGUCGGGGCAUUGCCAUAGUGUCAGCCCACGGGGCCAUAAACACAGGCUUUGCUGGAUCCCUGCCCCUUCAACUGGGGGAGGCUGGGUGGUAAGAUGAGAAGGCGCCUUCCUUCCAGCCCAUUUUCUCCAAAGCAGCAAGUUUCGAGAACGUCACAUUUGAUACAUGGCAUAGAAGAGGAAUAUCCUCAAACACAACUUUCGGGUGAUUAUCUCCUAUCCUAAGUGCCAUCUGUAUGGUAUUAUGCUUAUGUGACUGCAUGAAUGUAUAUAUGGACACACACACAUAUACACAUUUUUAAGUUUUCAAGCAAAAUGAGUAUUAGUAAGUAUGAGAAACCUGGCCCAAGUCCCCAUGAGUCUCCUCCCUCUGACUUAUUCCAAGUGACUCCUGCUAAACUCUUUUCCCCCCAUCCCAGUGAGCUUCCCUAAAUGGCUUUCAUCAGUCAUGCCAAAUGGUACACUUGGCUUUGCACAGAGCACAAAUGAGGAUGCACGAAGCCCCUAAAGCUCAUUUUCCAUGCCCAUCUCAAACAGGAAGUGAUCCUAGAUCUCCAAGGGUAAGUGAGCAGUACACAAAUUCACUGUCCCUUUAGCCCUCCUAGGUGGAGGCCCUUUGAGAUUCUUAUGAUUUCUUAAUGGUCUAAUAUAAAGUGUAUCCAUGCACAAGAUACAUCGCCUGAUGUAAGAAUCCAUAACUGCGUCCUGUUAACAGUUCCUGCUGUUUGUGGAGUAUUGUCUUGACAUACUCGUUAAACCUCAAUAAAUAUGUUUUUAAUA